AGCUGGUUUUUGGGGCUCCUCUCCCAGAUUUUUCUGGUCCCUAAUUCCCCAUGAGCCUCUCUCUGCUUUCCUUGCUGGGAAUUCCUCCAUGUGCCAGCACCAAACGCUUCCAGGGAUUUCUAAGAAAUCUGCUGGAGAGUCAGCUGUGUCCCUGAGCAAUGGGGAUGAGCCGGGUUUAUUUCAUCUUUAAUUACGCCAUUAAUUAAUAACCUGAGGGAUGUCACUGAGACUUUUCACCUGAGCAGGGCUGGCCUUUGGCUGGCUCUGCAGGAGAGCUUAAAAAACCCACUGGAGAGAUUAUAAAAGUGAAAAAUUCAAGUUUUGUCCUUGCAGCUGGAUGGUCACACCCGAAUUUUAGGAGCUAAUGAAGAUUUUGUGAUUUGCAGCGGUGGCAGGGGCGGGUGACAGAGGGAUUCUCCCACUGGAAUUCAGGAAGGCCAGCAUCCCCGUGCUUCCCCUCCGAGCUGCAGCCUGGAAUCCAGGGAAUCUCAGCUUACACGGAUGUCUGGCAGCCCCAAAGCUCGUGGAACACCGUGGGAGCUGGCCCGGAGCCCGAACUGCUGCUCUGAUGUCACAGCCGGUCACGGGGCAGCGAUGUCCCCUCGGUGACACUCCUGCCUCCCUCAGCUGCAUCCGAAUCCAAGUUCCACCCAGGAGGAGGCUCCCAGGCUUUUAUAACACCUUUGAGAAGCCAUUUACGAGUCUGUUGGAAAUGACACAACUUCUAAAAUGUUUUGUUUUAUGAGAGGAACUUUCCUGGGAGCUGUGCUGCAGCAUCAGUGCUUUUCCAUGAAAACUUUGGAGCAGAGCAGGAGGAGGAGGGAGGGAGGAGGGGCGGAUCCUCCUGGGACUGGCGGUCCCAGCUCCUCCAGCAGCUCCCUGGCACUGCCCAGGCAGCUCCACAGGUUUGGACAUGGAGCCAUCAGAGAUCCGUGUCUGUUCCACGGGUACACAGGAGAGAUGGGAAGGAGCUGCUGCCAAUGGAUGGAGAUCGCAGCUCUGCUCCAGGGUGCUCCCAAGAAACACAAAUCCCACAGCACCAAAACCAGGAGUGGGACUGGAGGAAAAUCCCAGCCCAGGCUGGUUCUGUGUCCCAGGAGCUGCAGUCUGGCUUUGGGGGAUUUUAUCUCCUGGAGAAAAUAUUCCAGGGGCUGCUGCUCCAUCAGCUCCCAGAAAUUGCCUCUGUGGGAACAACUCGGCUCUCCAGGGGAGUGAAACUCCUUCUGAUUUAAUUCAGGAAUAAACCAAACUCUUCAAAUCUCUGAGCCCAAAUUAAUCCUGGUUUUCCAUCUGCAAAAAAAUGGGAGGACCAGAUCCCCAGGGACAGGGGAGGAUGUGGAGUGAGGAGCGGGCAGAAAUCCCCUCAGAGUCUGGAGUCCUUCCCCCAUUUAUUCCCAUUUUUAACGAGUUUUAAGGCACAACAUU
rnacentral:lncRNA from 1 species